rnacentral:rRNA from 1 species
UAGGGAAUCUUCCACAAUGGGCGAAAGCCUGAUGGAGCAAUGCCGCGUGUGUGAUGAAGGGUUUCGGCUCGUAAAACACUGUUGUAAGAGAAGAAUGACAUUGAGAGUAACUGUUCAAUGUGUGACGGUAUCUUACCAGAAAGGAACGGCUAAAUACGUGCAG